AUGAACUUUCUAAGCCUUGGCUUCCUUAUCUGUAAAGUAGGGGUGAUGCUAGUACCGUCUUCACAGGCCAUCCGGCUUGAGAGGGAGAACCUGGCACACCAAGCAUGCCCAACUAAGCAGAAGAAGAUGCCUGAUCGCAUGAGUGUCAUCCCAUUGAAUCUUCUCGGCGGUCCUACAAGCCCUGAAGUCCACCCUGCCACUCGUGGGAUGUAUCUCAUGUCCUCCCUGCCACAGGCCGCAACAGAUGGCUGUGAGAACACUCGGCCUGCCCCGCCUGGGUCAGGAUGCAGAGCCCAACGCCUGUUUCCAGUGCUGUCCGGCUAUGAAAACACUGCUUCUCUUGGGAGGGGUGAUGGCUGGCCUGGGGGAGGCCAGCCAUGUCUGUUCUACCCAAUUCAAGGGCAAAGGUGCAAGGGAAUAAUGAUCAGGGGUUUGUUUGAACCAUGUUACAGAAUUGAAAAGUAUUUUCAUACAAUUGAAAGUCAGAAAAUAGGAGACACUUGCUAUAUUGUUCUAUCCUGUUAG
rnacentral:lncRNA from 1 species